ACUCCUACGGGAGGCAGCAGUGGGGAAUAUUGCACAAUGGGCGCAAGCCUGAUGCAGCCAUGCCGCGUGUAUGAAGAAGGCCUUCGGGUUGUAAAGUACUUUCAGCAGUGAGGAAGGUGGGUAUGUUAAUAGCAUACUCAUUUGACGUUAGCUGCAGAAGAAGCACCGGCUAACUCCGUGCCAGCAGCCGCGGUAAUACGGAGGGUGCGAGCGUUAAUCGGAAUUACUGGGCGUAAAGCGCAUGCAGGUGGUUUGUUAAGUCAGAUGUGAAAGCCCGGGGCUCAACCUCGGAAUUGCAUUUGAAACUGGCAAACUAGAGUACUGUAGAGGGGGGUAGAAUUUCAGGUGUAGCGGUGAAAUGCGUAGAGAUCUGAAGGAAUACCGGUGGCGAAGGCGGCCCCCUGGACAGAUACUGACACUCAGAUGCGAAAGCGUGGGGAGCAAACAGGAUUAGAUACCCUGGUAGCCGUAG
rnacentral:rRNA from 1 species